rnacentral:rRNA from 1 species
AUGAAGGCCAACUGGAUCGUCCUCAUCCACCAAUGCGAUAGUCCGUGGCAUCUCGUGGAUAUCUACACCCAGCGAGAGAUCACCCUUGCAUCAUUGGAUACCGCCGCCAUCAAGCCUCGCGGCCCGCCGGACACUCCUGCCUACUAUGCACGAGACGCGUCAAGCUUUUGGCUUGACCUCUGUUUGCUGAAAGUUGUAAUAUGUGAAGUGCGCACACCAUCAGAAGACUACAUGGAUUACAAGCUCAUUGCCUUGUUCAACAUGGGAUUAGUCUAUCUGGAAUCCGGUCGCCAUACAUGGUUAUGGCUCAUCGUCAAUCCUAUUGAGGCAACAUUUUUGUCUGAUGCUAUAGUGCACGAUGGCAUUGUUUACGCGUACCAUAUAACUGGAAUUAACCGAUGCAAGUCGAAGAAGGAUUGGCCGGUGCUGCCGGCUGGCAUCAAGUUCGAUCCCAUGGAUCAGGAGUUGAUCGAGCACCUUGAGGCCAUAGUGAGUGCUGACAGCGCGAGAUCUCACCCUCUCAUCGAUUUGUUCAUACCAACCAUCGACAGCGAGCACGACAUAUGCUACACCCAUCCUGAGAAACUUCCAGGUAUCACAUUGGAGUGCGACAUGCACGCGAUGUGGCACAACACCGGCAAUACCUUGCCAGUGAUGGUCAACGGCCGACAGGGCAGCAAAAAGGUUCUAGUGCUGCACACCAACAAGAACUUCGACCAGCAGAGGACCAACUGGUUGAUGCACCAGUACCACCUCGGGGACCUGGAGCAAGAGAAGGAGCUGGAACUGGUCCUCUGCAAGAUUUUCUACCAGACGAACACUAGGGCCAGGAGUCGAGCAAGUUUCAACUGGGUUGUAGACUGCCCAGGCUUGGUUUUGUUUUUAACAGGCCCAGCCCAUGAAGACAACGGGGCACAAAGAUCCAACGGUAUCUACUGGCCUCUGGCCCGCCAGCGUUAG